CUCGCUAGUAGGUUUGUAUAACAAGGUUUAGGUUCGUAAUCCUCCGCGAAAAGGGACCUACAAGGUGGAAGGGUGUGAUGGGCUUGUGAAUCUAUUUCCAACCAAUCCAAUGCGAUUACUGAAGCAUCUAGAAACAGUAAGAAUAGAUGAUUGUUGUAACCUCCGAGAGAUAUUCAACAUAGACUUGGAAUGUUUUGGUGAAGUUGAACAAGUUAUCAACAUCAGCUUGCGUUACAUUUGUGUGCGUCGUUUAAAUGAAGAAGAUUGUCACGUGUGGAGUAUAAACAGUGGUGGAAGAAACUCAAGUUUUCAUGACUUUGAUACAACGGGGUGGGUGAGAGAAGAGAAUGUACGAUAUGGGACGAGAUAUGAAAAAACUUCGCACCAACCGAGUCCAAAUUCGAUUCGGUUAAGAAGAGGAAGAGGCAAUUUGGGUGAAGUAUUGAGUGGUCAAGCCGGGGCGGACACGCGCUUGAAAGGAAAACUUUAAGGUGAUCGUUAUGAUAUUACGGAUGAAGAUCAAGCAUAACGAAGAAUCGAACAGAACCGAAGAUCAAGCUUCCGCUUUUUGUUUAGUUAUUUUACGAACCGAACAAUGUUAACGUGUUGAAGUGUUUUAAAUA